UGAACGCUAGCGGCAGGCCUAACACAUGCAAGUCGAGGGGCAGCACGGAUUAGUUUACUAAUUGGGUGGCGACCGGCGCACGGGUGCGUAACGCGUAUGCAACCUACCUUGUACUGGGGUAUAGCCCGGAGAAAUUCGGAUUAAUCCCCCAUAGUAUUAAAUAACCGCAUGGUUAAAUAAUUAAAGGUUACGGUACAAGAUGGGCAUGCGUCCUAUUAGCUAGAUGGUGAGGUAACGGCUCACCAUGGCUACGAUAGGUAGGGGGCCUGAGAGGGUGGUCCCCCACACUGGUACUGAGACACGGACCAGACUCCUACGGGAGGCAGCAGUGAGGAAUAUUGGUCAAUGGGCGCAAGCCUGAACCAGCCAUGCCGCGUGCAGGAAGAAUGCCCUAUGGGUUGUAAACUGCUUUUAUUUAGGAAUAAACUCUUGUACGUGUACAAGCCUGAAGGUACUAAAUGAAUAAGCACCGGCUAACUCCGUGCCAGCAGCCGCGGUAAU
rnacentral:rRNA from 1 species